GCCGAUGCUGCUGCAUGGCCAGUUUAUUACAUGUUACACCUGGAGGUCCUGAGGGGGCUUACGGCUGCUCUGAAAAUUAUGGUGAGAGGAGGAGACAAGAAAAAUUGCCUGCUGUGAAGUGCUGACACAUAACUUUUCAUGUCGGAGAGGAAAGAGAAGGGUUCUGAUGAUGAGGACACACUUUGCCAUGCAGGCCACUGGAUGCUGACUACUGAAGGUUAGGUUGUGUGUGACGGUGCUCAGCACAGCUUCAUGUCUGGCCUUCCCACUCUGUUCAUAACAUGUUACAUAUUCAGGCUUGAGUACCAGGAUGGGUCAGCGUGUCUCUUGGAGUCCACUGAAAGAGAGUGGAACAAGCAGCGUCAUCUAAAAUGCCAGGAUACAGAAGAAACAGGUUGCAGUGAACCCACAUGUCGCCGCUCUUCUAAACACAAUGAUGAAUAUUCAGUGUAAUCGAUGAAAA